GGCUUCCAAGGGAGGGAGGAGGAGAGGGGGAAAGAGCAGCCUUCCAAGGGAGGGAGGAGGAGAGGGGGAAAGAGAAGCCUUCCAAGGGAGGGGGAGACAGGGGUUGCAGAGUGAGACGUGGAGGAGGAUGGUCAUACAAGUACACAGAGAACAACCAAGAAAGGAGAGGGGAAGCACCCGACCCUAAAGGACAGAGAGAGAGACAGGAGCAAGGGCUACAGAGGCAGUGAGAGUCUGUGGACCUUGCAAGAGCAAGGAAAGGACCAACCCUGCUGCCCAGACUGGGACCCAGCUGGUCCCCCUACAGCUCAUCUCUUGCCCUGGGGCCCAGACUGGGAACCAGCUGGUCCCCCUACAGCUCAUCUCUUCCCUGAAGCUCCAGACUGGGACCCAUCUGGUCUCCCUACAGCUCAUCUCUGCCCUGCUGCCCAGACUGGGACCCAGCUGGUCUCCCUACAGCUCAUCUCUGUCCUGAAGCCCCAGACUGGGACCCAGCUGGUCUCCCUACAGCUCAUCUCUGCCCUGAAGCCCAGACUGGGACCCAGCUGGUCUCCCUACAGCUCAUCUCUGUCCUGCUGCCCAGACUGGGACCCAGCUGGUCCCCCUACAGCUCAUAUCUGCCCUGCUGCCCAGACUGGGACCCAGCUGGUCCCCCUACAGCUCAUCUCUGCCCUGAAGCUCCAGACUGGGACCCAGCUGGUCCCCCUACAGCUCAUCUCUGUCCUGAAGCCCCAGACUGGGACCCAGCUGGUCCCCCUACAGCUCAUCUCUGCCCUGAAGCCCAGACUGGGACCCAGCUGGUCUCCCUACAGCUCAUCUCUGUCCUGCUGCCCAGACUGGGACCCAGCUGGUCUCCCUACAGCUCAUCUCUGUCCUGCUGCCCAGACUGGGACCCAGCUGGUCCCCCUACAGCUCAUAUCUGCCCUGCUGCCCAGACUGGGACCCAGAUGGUCCCCCUACAGCUCAUCUCUUCCCUGAAGCUCCAGACUGGGACCCAGCUGGUCUCCCUACAGCUCAUCUAUCUCUGCCCUGCUGCCCAGACAGGGACCCAGCUGGUCCCCCUACAGCUCAUCUCUGCCCUGAAGCUCCAGACUGGGACCCAGCUGGUCCCCCUACAGCUCAUCUCUGCCCUGCUGCCCAGACUGGGACCCAGCUGGUCUCCCUACAGCUCAUCUCUUCCCUGAAGCUCCAGACUGGGACCCAGCUGGUCUCCCUACAGCUCAUCUCUGCCCCGCUGCCCAGACUGGGACCCAGCUGGUCCCCCUACAGCUCAUCUCUGCCCUGAAGCCCAGACUGGGACCCAGCUGGUCCCCCUACAGCUCAUCUCUGCCCUGAAGCCCAGACUGGGAACCAGCUGGUCUCCCUACAGCUCAUCUCUGCCCUGAAGCCCAAACUGGGACCCAGCUGGUCCCCCUACAGCUCAUCUCUGCCCUGAAGCCCAGACUGGGAACCAGCUGGUCUCCCUACAGCUCAUCUCUGCCCUGAAGCCCAGACUGGGACCCAGCUGGUCUCCCUACAGCUCAUCUCUGCCCUGAAGCUCCAGACUGGGACCCAGCUGGUCCCCCUACAGCUCAUCUCUGCCCUGCUGCCCAGACUGGGACCCAGCUGGUCCCCCUACAGCUCAUCUCUGCCCUGCUGCCCAGACUGGGACCCAGCUGGUCCCCCUACAGCUCAUCUCUGCCCUGCUGCCCAGACUGGGACCUAGCUGGUCUCCCUACAGCUCAUCUCUGCCCUGCUGCCCAGACUGGGACCCAGCUGGUCCCCCUACAGCUCAUCUCUUCCCUGAAGCUCCAGACUGGGACCCAGGGUCUCCCUACAGCUCAUCUCUGCCCUGCUGCCCAGACUGGGACCCAGCUGGUCCCCCUACAGCUCAUAUCUGCCCUGCUGCCCAGACUGGGACCCAGCUGGUCCCCCUACAGCUCAUCUCUGCCCUGAAGCUCCAGACAUUCACAGAGGAGAUGAGAUGGGCCAUGGACACGGAGCUGCAUGACCCAUCAGUGUGUGUGCAGCAGCAGGCAGCUUUGUCCCUAAACACCUUCAUCAGGAGGAAGACUAUUCAACUAGACACUAACAUACUGGAGGAUAAACUACACACACACCUCUAUAACAGGGUACAACACACACAUACCUCUGUAACAGGGUACAACACACACACACCUCUGUAACAGGGUACAACACACACACACACCUCUGUAACAGGAUACAACACACACACACACCUCUGUAACAGGGUACAACACACACACACCUCUGUAACAGGGUACAACACACACACACACCUCUGUAACAGGGUACAACACACACACACCUCUGUAACAGGGUACAACACACACAUACCUCUGUAAUAGGGUACAACACACACACACCUCUGUAACAGGGUACAACACACACAUACCUCUGCAACAGGGUACAACACACACACACCUCUGUAACAGGGUACAACACACACACACCUCUGUAACAGGGUACAACACACACAUACCUCUGUAACAGGGUACAACACACACACUCACCUCUGUAACCGGGUACAACACACACACACCUCUGUAACAGGGUACAACACACACACACCUCUGUAACAGGGUACAACACACACACACCUCUGUAACAGGGUACAACACACACACACAACUCUGUAACAGGGUACAACACACACACAACUCCGCAACAGGGUACAACACAGCACACACCUCCGCAACAGGUACAACACAGCACACACCUCCGCAACAGGUACAACACAACACACACCUCCGCAACAGGUACAACACAACACACACCUCCGCAACAGGUACAACACAACACACACCUCCGCAACAGGUACAACACAACACACACCUCCGCAACAGGUACAACCCCACACACACCUCCGCAACAGGUACAACACAACACACACCUCUCCGCAACAGGUACAACACACACCUCCGCAACAGGUACAACCCCACACACACCUCCGCAACAGGUACAACACAACACACACCUCCGCAGCAGGGUACAACACAACACACCUCUACAACAGGGUACAACACACCUCUACAACAGGGUGAAACGGGGUACAACACACACGGUACUUUAGACUGCUCACUAUCUGUGUUCUGUCUUUGCUGUUGAGGUCCUGUAGCUGCUGCCAUGUUAUUAUAGUCACUUUCUGUCCUUAUGUUCCUGUACACUUAAAAGGCCCUCUGAAUGGCAAACAGUCCCGAGAACAACAAGUCUUAUGAGAACAGAAUAUUAAUCAGUGUUCUCAUGUGUUGUGGGAGAAUCUCAAUUGCAUACUCCUCUCGCCGCCUCCUCUAACCCCAUUGGAGGAGGUCAGAGAGGUGGUGCCUGUAGCUUUCUCAUCCAAUGGGUUUUGAGGAGACAGGGAAAGAGGACACCAGGAGAAUGCAAAUGAGGUUUUCCCAGUAUGUUUGUUGGGUGAGUUGCUGAGGAGCCUCCCCAAGCCCUCUGACUCCCCCAGCAGGAUCUGGGAACAACUGCAGCCCAGAGGAAGACAUAGCAACUUGGGGUUACCUUGGAGACAGAACAGGAAUCUGGAUGUACUCUGCCAACGCAAUGUCAAUGAAGGGGUUACCUUGAAGGCCCAGAAUGUUAACCUGACAGCAGUACAAGAACUGAGCUUAAGGUACCUUCGUACUGGCACUAUCACCGUGUGGACAUAUCUGAAAUAUUUCCUACGUACUGCACUACUUCUGAUCAGAGCCCUGUGUGACCCAGCCUCUGACUUUCAUUGCGUGUCAUUGAUCAUAUGUAUUAUAAUGAGAUUCAUCUUAUAAAAGAAAAUACAAUUCCAA